GCCGGUGUAGUUCAGCGGUAGAACAGCGGACCUGUAAUCCGCUUGUCGCGGGCUCGAUUCCGGCCACCAACACCC
rnacentral:tRNA from 1 species